rnacentral:rRNA from 1 species
AUGGACAUCGUGAAGCUCUCGUGGCGGACGCUGGAGAAGGUGGUGGUGCACCCGCUGGUGCUGCUCAGCAUUGUCGACCACUAGAACUGCGUGGCCUGCGAGACCCAGAAGCGCGUCAUUGGCAUGCUCCUCGACACCUCCUCCCGCGGCGUCGUCGACAUCACCAACUCCUAUGAUGUGCCAUUUGAGGAGGAUGACAAGGACCUGAGGAUUUGGUUCCUCGACAAUAAGAAUCAUGAUGUUUUAGAAUUCUCAUCAGUUGUUUGGGAUGCAGCCAAGGAGCAUCUUGUUGGCUGGUAUAGCACUCAUCCAAAACUAAAGGGGAACGACUUGGAUGUUCAUGCAUUGUUUACCAAAUAUGAUUCUACUUUGCAACCAUUUGUCCUGCAGUAA